CCUUUAAUUUCGAGAUUCCUCUCAAUUGAAUCAAAAUGAAGAAUUUUUUUCGAAUCAGCGUGAAGAAUUUUUUUCGUUUAGAAAUUAAUGGGUUUCCUGAUGAGGAUGGAUGUAAAAGUCAUUAGAUGUUCAAUUUGUAGAAACUUCACGUCAAGAUGGAAGUUAUAUUAAGAACGAAACAUUGAAUUCGAUUAUACCAACUUCCGUAUAUGAAAUUCAAGUGUUGCUUUCAGAAACAAUCUAAUGAAAAGAUGAGUUGGGUCAUUCUUAGAUGCCAUGGCAACAAACUUAAAGUGGAUUGUUUUUAGGAGCUGUUGUUGUAUCAAUUUCAGGAUCUGUUGUAUUUGAUU